AUACUUACCUGGCAAGGGAGAUACCAUGAUCAAGAAGGCGGUUCACCCAGGGCUAAGGUCAGCCAUUGCACUCUGGGUCGUGCUGACCCCUGUGAGUUCCUGAGAGUGGGACUCUCGACUGCAUAAUUUCUGGUAGUGGGGGGCUGCGUUUGCGCUCUCCCCUG